GGGAAGUAAAAGGCGUAACAAAGGUUUCCGUAGGUGAACCUGCGGAAGGAUCAUUACCGAGUGCGGGCCCCUCGGGGCCCAACCUCCCCACCCGUGUUGCCCGAACCUAUGUUGCCUCGGCGGGCCCCGCGCCCGCCGACGGCCCCCCUGAACGCUGUCUGAAGUUGCAGUCUGAGACCUAUAACGAAAUUAGUUAAAACUUUCAACAACGGAUCUCUUGGUUCCGGCAUCGAUGAAGAACGCAGCGAAAUGCGAUAACUAAUGUGAAUUGCAGAAUUCAGUGAAUCAUCGAGUCUUUGAACGCACAUUGCGCCCUCUGGUAUUCCGGAGGGCAUGCCUGUCCGAGCGUCAUUGCUGCCCUCAAGCCCGGCUUGUGUGUUGGGCCCCGUCCCCCCCGCCGGGGGGACGGGCCCGAAAGGCAGCGGCGGCACCGCGUCCGGUCCUCGAGCGUAUGGGGCUUCGUCACCCGCUCUAGUAGGCCCGGCCGGCGCCAGCCGACCCCCAACCUUUAAUUAUCUCAGGUUGACCUCGGAUCAGGUAGGGAUACCCGCUGAACUUAAGCAUAUCAAUAAGCGGAGGA
rnacentral:misc_RNA from 1 species